UACGGGGGGGGCAAGCGUUGUUCGGAAUUACUGGGCGUAAAGGGCUCGUAGGUGGCCAACUAAGUCAGACGUGAAAUCCCUCGGCUUAACCGAGGAACUGCGUCUGAUACUGGAUGGCUUGAGUUUGGGAGAGGAAUGCGGAAUUCCAGGUGUAGCGGUGAAAUGCGUAGAUAUCUGGAGGAACACCGGUGGCGAAGGCGGCUCUCUGGACCGAGACUGACGCUGAGGCGCGAAAGCGUGGGGAGCAAACAGG
rnacentral:rRNA from 1 species